rnacentral:rRNA from 1 species
UCAGGAUGAACGCUAGCGACAGGCUAACACAUGCAAGUCGAGGGCAGCAUAAAAGUAGCAAUACUUGGUGGCGACCGGCGCACGGGUGAGUAACGCGUAUGCAACCUACCUAUCAGAGGGGAAUAACCCGGCGAAAGUCGGACUAAUACCGCAUAAAACAGGGGCACCGCAUGGUGAUAUUUGUUAAAGAAAUUCGCUGAUAGAUGGGCAUGCGUUCCAUUAGGUAGUUGGUGAGGUAACGGCUCACCAAGCCGACGAUGGAUAGGGGAACUGAGAGGUUGGUCCCCCACACUGGUACUGAGACACGGACCAGACUCCUACGGGAGGCAGCAGUGAGGAAUAUUGGUCAAUGGGCGGGAGCCUGAACCAGCCAAGUCGCCGUGAAGGAAGAAGGAUCUAUGGUUCGUAAACUUCUUUUGCAGGGGAAUAAAGUGCAGGACGUGUCCUGUUUUGUAUGUACCCUGAGAAUAAGGAUCGGCUAACUCCGUGCCAGCCGCCGC